CCUUCCAAAUUCCAAUUCAUCCC
rnacentral:snRNA from 1 species